GGGGGCGUGAUGCGGCUCAGAUUCCACCGUUACCAAGGAACAGCGACAAGAAGAACAGCGUUUGUGUCAGAAUGAGAGUGUGUGUGAGGAGAGGAGCUGCAUGAACACGCAAAUGUGUGUGACACAAAGAGGGACGGUUUAGCUGGUGGCGGAGCGGCGCAGACAUCAGUGGUGGUGUGUCUACGUGUGUGUGUGUGUGUGUGUGUGUGUGUGUGUGUGUGUGCGCGCGCGUGUGCGCAUCCAUGCAUUGACGGAUACAGUAUGAAUGAUUGAUGCUGUAGGCUAGAGUAAAGAAAUGGUCAGCAGUAACUAACAGGAUACUUUAAUAAGAGCUUCUGUUUUAUAUUUCAAUGAUGAAUUCACUUGAUUCAAU